rnacentral:rRNA from 1 species
GAUGAACGCUGGCGGCGUGCCUAAUACAUGCAAGUCGAGCGAACAGACGAGGAGCUUGCUCCUCUGACGUUAGCGGCGGACGGGUGAGUAACACGUGGAUAACCUACCUAUAAGACUGGGAUAACUUCGGGAAACCGGAGCUAAUACCGGAUAAUAUAUUGAACCGCAUGGUUCAAUAGUGAAAGACGGUUUUGCUGUCACUUAUAGAUGGAUCUGCGCCGCAUUAGCUAGUUGGUAAGGUCACGGCUUACCACGGCAACGAUGCGUAGCCGACCUGAGAGGGUGAUCGGCCACACUGGAACUGAGACACGGUCCAGACUCCUACGGGAGGCAGCAGUAGGGAAUCUUCCGCAAUGGGCGAAAGCCUGACGGAGCAACGCCGCGUGAGUGAUGAAGGUCUUCGGAUCGUAAAACUCUGUUAUUAGGGAAGAACAAAUGUGUAAGUAACUAUGCACGUCUUGACGGUACCUAAUCAGAAAGCCACGGCUAACUACGUG